AGUGUAGGCGGUUACUUAAGUCGGAUGUGAAAUCCCCGGGCUCAACCUGGGAAUUGCAUUCGAUACUGGGUAGCUAGAGUUUGGUAGAGGUAAGUGGAAUUCCGGGUGUAGCGGUGAAAUGCGUAGAUAUCCGGAGGAACAUCAGUGGCGAAGGCGGCUUACUGGACCAAACCUGACGCUGAGGCUCGAAAGCGUGGGGAGCAAACAGGAUUAGAUACCCUGGUAGUCC
rnacentral:rRNA from 1 species